UGCGUAUUAUACAUGAAUAAAUAAGUUUUGUGUACAUUAGGGGUGCUAGUUGAGAUUGUUCACUUGCCAAUAUAUUAGCUGUGGGCACUUACUAGAGCGGGGCGCUUAUUAUGUCGAAUACGGUAGGUGUUACUCAUUUAUUUUCCAGGUUUGUGUGUUUGAUAGCCGGUAUGUUUCCUCCUUAUUUAUGGUUGAUUACUUUUCAUUUUGAAGAAUGUUAUGUUAGAGAUGAGAAAAUGGAGGUGUUAGGGACCGACCUUUUGAUACCUGGUUGAUGCAUCCCAGUUGUGUAUAUCGAUGCUCAUGAUGUCAGUCACUGGAUUGUCUAGGUCAGACUCGAUUAUAUUCAGGGGGUGGUGAUAUUAUCGAAACGAAAUCAAUUAACCCAGAAGUUCUUGAAAAAUGAAUCAUGCUUUUGACUGUUGAAAAAAAACAACGUUGCAAGGAGUUUUUCUGACGAAAAUAUUCAGGCACAUAGUUAUAAUUAAUUGCAGCUGUCCCUGAAAAAAUAUCUGCUCUCCAGACAAAAUCAAUGGCCUCCUCUGAAUAUCAAAUGGUCUCUCCCUUACUUCCGGAUUCCAUGUUAACUUGCUGAUGCACUACAUGUAUAAUAUCAGACACUGAUAUUAAAAGCCUCACCUCGUCUCCAAGCAGUGCAAUACCUGGGUGGGUGGUCCAGUCGUCUGAGGCGCUGCUAUUCUCUGUGCAAAGUUGCGUCCCUAGGGCACGCCAGAAACCUAUGAUUGUGGGUUCGAAUCCCGGUUCGCCCGAUUAUGUUUCUAGGUUCGUCAGCACCAUACCCGUGCUCGUGGGUUUCACCGAAGUGGUAAACAUCUGAGACCUGCAUCACUUUGUCUGAGACCUGCAUCACUUCGGGCUUUCCUCCAAAAUUAAGCUGACACGCGGUGAUAUAACUGGAAUACUGUUAAAAGCGGCGUUAAACCCAACUCACUCACUCACUCACAUGUAUAAAUUAUUGCAAACCAGUUUUGGAAGGAUGAUCUGCCAUCUAUGCUGAAGGCUUUUUCCAGUUUUGGACAUGGUGAUAAUGAAACUAUUUUUUGUUCUUAUUUUACACAUUUUCAAGGUCAGUGUGUCAAGAUGCAGUAUAAAACAUAACUAUUAAUAUUGUCAGGAUUGAUUUUAAGUGGACACAAGAGAAAAAUACGCCCCAAAUGUGCAAUAAUUACGAAAAUCUUCAUUUGCUAUGAAGAAUAGGAAAUAUGACACCGGGUAAUUUAGGGCAAUCACAUUUAUAUCAAUCAGUGGAUUGUCUGGUCCUGACUGGAUUAUUUUCAGACCGCUGUCAUAUAGCUGUUAAACAACAAACAAACAAAAAAACAACAACAUUGCUCCGAUCAAUGAUAUUAGCCAAUCCCUGCUCACUGAAUUCAAUUUUUUUUACCCAAACAGAAUACAUACACAUUCACAUCAACAGCCACAAGGAUGUUUAAACCAAGUCAUUUUUCAGUUUUUAAGCAUUUCUAUAUUCGGACAAAAGUGAAAUGUUUUGCACCCUGUUUCAAAUAUCGUAAAUGGAUGGUGACUGGGUCUAAAAACCACCCAUUUUAUUUUUUAGACGUCUUAGGGACCUACCAUUUAAUGUUCUGGAGGGCUGGGAUUAUUGUUUUGAGACAGGAUAUUUUUCCAGUCAGCGUGUCAAAACCAUCUUCCCGAGGCAAGGGGCAGGGGCAUGGGCGGCCCAGUCGUCUAAGGCGCCACGAUUUGCUGUGCAGAGUUGCGUCCCUUGGGCACGCCAGAAACCUAUGAUUGUGGGUUCUAAUCCCGGUUCGCCCCGAUUAUGUUUCUAGGUUUGUCAGCACCAUACCCGUGCACGUGGGUUUCACCGAAGUGGUAAACAUCUGAGACCUGCAUCACUUUGGGCUUUCCUCCCACAUUAAGCUGACACGCAGUGAUAUAACUGGAAUACUGUUAAAAGCGGGGUUAAACCAACCUCACUCACUCACUCACUCCUGAGGCAAGGGAGUUACCUGACUGUAGAAGUCCAGUUUCCACCCUUGCUGAACUAUACUGGAAUUCCGUAGUUACAUUUCGGCUGGACUAACGAGUCUGUGCAUAGUCCAAUCAAGAUUGUGCAGCGAACUAGACAGCCGACAUGGAUUUCAGUGUUCAGAUUUCGAUCGUUGGCAGGAUAUGCAAAGCAUGUGUACUGUCAACUGUGCAUUGACAUUUUCCAAAUCUGUUCAUGUUUUUAGUCGAGGGACUCAAAUUAUUUAAUGCACUUCGUGGUAAGACCCGUUUUAUUACAAUAUGGAUCUUGAUUAUCGAUCAGAUCGUCUUGAGUGGGCGCUGCCAUUUUGUUUGAAGCAAAUGCAAGUGAUAUGAGAGGUGGAAUCCGACUGGUCAAUAGGAGGGAUAUAGAAGGGACCUAACUAGUAAAAGACACACACACACACACACGCAAACACACACACACACACGUCGCUUCAUAAGUGCAAUAAUAUUGACCGUGAUGUUAAACCUCAAUUCUCCUGACAUUUUCCCAUACUAUAGCAUGCAGCCAUUCACAGGAAUUUGUUGUUGAAAACGUUUGUUAACCUAAUGUUAUGGUAUGAAGUCGAACUCGAGGAUAUGUUAACCUCAUGUUACGGUAUGUAGUCGAACUGGAGGAUAUGUUAACCUCAUGUUACUGUAUGUAGUCGAACUGGAGGAUAUGUUAACCUCAUGUUACGGUAUGUAGUCGAACUCGAGGAUAUGUUAACCUAAUGUUACGGUAUGAAGUCAAACUGGAGGAUAUGUUAACCUCAUGUUACGGUAUGAAGUCGAACUCGAGGAUAUGUUAACCUCAUGUUACGGUAUGUAGUCGAACUGGAGGAUAUGUUAACCUAAUGUUACGGUAUGAAGUCGAACUGGAGGAUAUGUUAACCUCAUGUUACGGUAUGAAGUCGAACUCGAGGAUAUGUUAACCUAAUGUUACGGUAUGUAGUCGAACUCGAGGAUAUGUUAAACUAAUGUUACGGUAUGAAGUCGAACUCGAGGAUAUGUUGUUAUUAUUCAGCCAUUGUUUUAACUGCACUCUUUACAUCUUUCAUGAAUAUCUUGUGAUUGACCCAGUGAAUCAGUGCCUUGCAUACAUUACCUGUUUCUGUGAAAUUUCAAUGAAAAGAAUUGGAAAUAAUUUUACUUUUCUAUCUCUAUGGAUGUCGUUUUGUUUAAAGGAAAAUAAAAAUCUUCUGAAAGUCA